AUCAUGUUUUUUUCGCAUCAAUUUAGACAUUUUCCCAAUUGAGUUUCAGAGGGCCUUGAUAAUAAUAGAGAAACGAUAUUCUUCGCCUAAAUCGGUCGGGAAUCUCAAACUGAUCAAAAUUAUUGUAAAAUGUGUAGUACGCAGUAUGAGAAACAUUGCAACUAUACUUCUUUUUCAGGGUAAAAUGAACUCCUACCUAGCGGCUGAUUUAUGUGCCUAAAUAUCGAGUAAGCUCGAUCGUAAUUUGAUUGUGUUACUCGCCAGAAAUUUUACGUCCGAAAGAUUUUUCAUCCAAGAGUAAGACAAACAUAUAUUUUAUCGACAGCUCGCCGUAACGAAUCCAUAAUCCUCAACUAUAGUGAGCUGUUUCGAUAUCGUGGCUAAUAAGCCGGCUGCAUAUUACACAAGUAUUUUAUGGGAAAUGCAACAGUUUUUAUCGCACAUGAUAGUGAGCUUGACAAUCAACCGUAUGAAAGAAUUUCCAUUUUUGGACUUUGAAUUGCAGAACUCAAGCUAGGAUAUAAUCUCUAAGAUUUUGUUAUUUGAUGAUCAUUUCUAUUAUGUUUUGCUAUUUUGAUUAAACUCAUCCCCACAAUAUAUGAGUUAAUAAUAGAAAUAUUUAAAGGUUGUUAAUAAGAUGCAGAAAUUUCAAUUAGAAAUUCGAAUCCUUUCCCACUAGAAGUGCGAAUACAGCCCGCUCUACCUAAAACUUAGCUGUCAAAAUGCAUAUUUUUUUGUCAACCAAUCCAUUGUCUGGAUUGUGUUUUGUCCGUUACGCGAAACUAAGGUGUCAAAAUGUGUUUUUGCUUCCCACACGAAAAUGUUUGCUCCUCAUUUUUGUUUUAAUAGAUAAUAAGAUAUAAAUAUGGGUGAAGUAAAAAUAUUUCAGUUUAGUCCAUUUUUGUACUACUAGGAACGAUGAAGAAUAAUAAAAUAAAUUCUAAAUUUAUUUUUUUUUUUUGUUAUUCUAAACAGUGAGAAAAUUAAUUGAUACACUCAAAGAGAAAAGAAAAGCACAAUUUACUUAUGAAACAACAGCUUGGACUGUGAUUUAAUGGUGACAACUGCUUAUGCUCUGGAUAAAUAUGUCGAAAAACAAUGUUUUUGACGGGGCGUAGAGAUUUAUUAUAUAUAUAAUAUUUUACAUGCCUCUCCUGCAUAACUCGAAAUGUUGUAAGUGGAAUCGAGACAUCUUACAUACCUACGAGCGUUUUUCAACAUGUCCACAAAUGAAUUCUCCAUUUGCCGGUGUAUGAAAUCUACCUGUGCAUUUGAUUAUCUCGAAAUUUUGGAUUUUGAUAAUUUAAAUAUUGACGUUUGUAGCGUAUAAGCUUCACUUGUUUAAAGGCUUUCUUUCAGCGCGUGCAAAUGUAAAGAGCUGUCAGUGAUUGAUGGCGUUGCGUUUUUUCUACUUUAAACUGGAUUAAAUUGGAAGAAAAUGCAGCUAAAGCUACGGAAAUGAUUAAGUUGGCUGGGAGUGAAAAUACAAUGGUAUGUUAUGAAACAGUUAGAACUGGAUUUUGGACAAGAAAUCCUCGUCUUGAAAAUUAUGCAAUUCGUGCACGUCCCGCGUAAGCAAUCCAGGAAGUGAUCUUUAUCUUGAACUGAGAAUUUCUACCGCAUUCAAUCUAUUCUCCAGACCUGGUCCCUUCAAAUUACCACUUGCUCAGAUCGAUGCAGACGCAUUUAGCAGAUCAAUGGUUCACAAAAGUUGACAGCUUGAUGAUAAUUUCGCCUCGAAACUGACAAGUUUUCCGCGAGGAUGUUCGUAAAGUAUUCGAUAAGCUGCAGAAGACCAUAGAUAAUGAAGGUGGCUACUUCGAUUAUUAACUCGCCUAAUAAGUGUGUUUUCAAUUAAUUUGAACACGAUCAAAAAAUAUCGAGAAUCUUUUUGUAGACUUAAUACUAAGUUUCACUAUAGGCUUGCUGACGAAGAAACGAAGCCUUCAAUCUUGAAGGAUAUAAACACAAAUACGGAACUGUACAUAUUUCCUUACGGAGAUUAUUGUCGAAAAUGAACAGUGGGCUCAUCUCAAUAUUUCAAUAUCGAUAUGAACUCAGAGUUUUGCUAUCACAGCGAACCUCAUCUGACUGGUAAAUCGCUCGCAGAUUUAUUAUAUAAUAAAUUAUUUUUGUAUAUAUUUUGAACUUUUAAGAAAAAUCAAAGCUUUUUUGUUGGCUUCCAAAAGUUUUUCGAAAACGUAAUCCAUAAGUGAUGGGUGUGUAAAAAUUCGCCUCAAGUUUAGUAUAACCUCAGUUUUUGUUAUGAAACAACGCAUUACCUCAUGGGAUUAUAGCUUAUUAUUCGACAAAGUGUGUGGAUUUAAAGUGCAAAUGCAACAAUUCGUAGAUUUUAUUUUGUGACUUAAAGUUAUUGGACAGUUGUUUUAAUACUUGUAAAUACAGUUACAUAAAUAUUUUGUAUAGUUAUGGUAAAUGAAGCAGCAUGACAUAUCUAUAUGCUGUUUACUUAUUUGAUGUAACAUAUAUUUACUUACUUAAUGUUUUGAAAUGCUAAAUUUAAUGCUUUGAUAAAAAAAAAAAAGAAAUUAAAAUGAGUUACAUAAAUGCUUUAGUCAAACAAGUCCAGUCAUGUGAAAUUCAAUUUUAUUGUUAUCUAUCUAUUCUACUGUUACAUAUUUCGAAAGUAUCUCCCCAUGCGAUUGAGUUUUGUUUAAGUGUAUUGAGAUGAAACGUUCGUUGAAAUUUCGUGACAACAUGUUCACUUUUCUUUUUUCAAAACAUUGUAAUAACCAAAGAAAGUAAGAAAAUUGUAGUUGAAUCUUUUCUACGGCCAGUGCUUAAAAAAGGUCCUAAAAAAUCAAGCUUCAACAGCCUGAAAUUUUAGGUGAGCCUGGCGGACUUUUCCCGUUUUUCCACAGACACUGCACUCCGCGGUUACCCAUCCCGUAUACUUGAAGAUCAUUGCUCUUGUAUCCUUUUUUAUGCACACAAGCACAAGCUCCGAUUUUUGGUUUUCGCAAAAAAGGGAUGUUGUGCUCUACAUGUGCUCUUUCGCCUUUUUCCAGCAUCAAUUUGCGAGUAAAAUCUUGCAAUAGUGUUAUGUAAAUUGGAAACCGGUGUUGUCAUAUGCACGGCCAGAGGAAAGUUUACCACAAACUAAAUUUUGCACAGACAUUACGCAGACGGACAAAGGGACGGACACUGAUUAAGAAUUUUAUGCUGAUCGAGUAGGAUCUCUGAAGCUCUCUUCUGGAACAAAACGAAUAUACACAUACUCUCCAGUGCUGAGAUAAGACGAGUUUUUCUUUUUUGUACAACUGCCCAGGAGAUGUUGAGAAAUUUAUAAAAGUACGAUAGGAAAAAUACUUGGUAAAGGUGAUAAGUCGAACGAACGGGUUAUCGGGUUAUAGCGCCACCCGUAUACGACACCCAGAGGAACUUGAGAUAAAUCCAUCUUUUAUUGUGCCGAGGGAUUCCGAAUCACUUUCGUGAAUCUGAAGCUUGUCUGUCUGUUAUGGUUCCUUGCGUUUAAGCUACAGUUGGUACUUUUCGAGAUAUUUUAUUACCUAAGUUUUUUACUCCAACAAAGCAAGUGUAAAUCGUAUGUUCACUUACAUAUAAACACAUACAAUCGAAUCACACUUUAACUACAAGAUGCGAGAUGCAAAUGUAUUCAUUGUGCUCAAUGCUUUAGUUACAAGAAUUAUAAAAUUCAACUCAAUUAAAGUAAAACUUCUCAGAAGUUUUUCGCGUUAAAAUUUUUUUACAUAGUUUGGGGGGAAAGAAGAAAUUAGAGAAGAGAAAAAGUACAUAAGAAAGGAAAUAGAUAUUUUUUUGCGCUUAUUCGUGCCUUGCCCUAAUUAAAAACGAUAAAAGGUGAAGUUUCAAAUUGAAGUGUUCAUCUUGCUGAAGUCUUAGAACGAAUUGUGCACAUAGAGUAAAUAGAUUCUAUUUAUAUA